UUCAUUCGUUCGUACACUCAAGACUGGUUGCUUCUUUGUUUCUAAAACUAGUUUCUUGCGCUUCUAUGUAACUUGGGGUGAAGUUACGUGUUUGCAAGCGGACAUGUAAGCCCGGCAGUUGGGUUUCGGUCGUGAGCCAUUCGGAACAGGUCUGCAUCGAAACGGGAGCUGGAUUUUGCUGCGGCUGACAACGGCAAUAACGACAUGCAGUAAUGAGGACGGCACCAGUAUAAAGCAACACACUCCACGCACUAAACAGAAGCUGCUGCCUGCUACGACAAGGUCAUUGUGUGGACAUUGGCUACUACUACAAGAGUCUAUGCCAAGCACAUCUUGGUCAUCACAGGAGCUCCUAUCUGCACCAACAGGAAGGGGCUGGAGCCGAAUUUGCAAGGCUUUUACACCAAGAACAAAGAAGCACAUGCACAAGAAUAUGGAUGAGAUAUCAAGUCUGCAAAGGACUGUGUUAAGACUGCAAAGAGCUUCAGCCACCAUUCCACCAGCACGGA